rnacentral:rRNA from 1 species
GAUGAACGCUAGCGGCAGGCUUAACACAUGCAAGUCGAGGGGUAUAGUUCUUCGGAACUAGAGACCGGCGCACGGGUGCGUAACGCGUAUGCAAUCUACCUUUUACAGGGGAAUAGCCCAGAGAAAUUUGGAUUAAUGCCCCAUAGUAUAGUUUAUUCGCAUGAGUAGAUUAUUAAAGUUCCAACGGUAAAAGAUGAGCAUGCGUCCCAUUAGCUAGAUGGUAAGGUAACGGCUUACCAUGGCGACGAUGGGUAGGGGUCCUGAGAGGGAGAUCCCCCACACUGGAACUGAGACACGGACCAGACUCCUACGGGAGGCAGCAGUGAGGAAUAUUGGUCAAUGGGCGCAAGUCUGAACCAGCCAUGCCGCGUGCAGGAUGACGGUCCUAUGGAUUGUAAACUGCUUUUGUACGAGAAGAAACACUGCUAUGUGUAGCAGCUUGACGGUAUCGUAAGAAUAAGGAUCGGCUAACUCCGUGCCAGCCGCCGCAGUAA